AAGUGUUGGGAUUACAGGUGUGAGCCACUGUGCCUGGCCUGAAUAUAUGUGUCUUGAUAGCAAAAAUAAGGUGUGGCAGAAUUUGGUCUGGAACAGCACCUAAGUAGAGAAUAAUCUGGUCAAUUUCUUGUAUAAUUUUCUGCUCUUGAGGGACCAGAGGGUAAGACAUUCAUUCAUUCAUUCAUUCGUUCAUUCAGCAUUUUCUAAGUGCCUACUAUAAUAAAAUCUAGUAGUAACAGUUAACAUUUAAUAGAAACCCACAAUGUGACAGGCACUGUGCUAAGCACCUUAAAAUGAACACAAUUACUCCUCACCAACCCCCUCAAGUAAGAAUGAUCCCCAGAUAAGAAAACAGGGGGAUUAGGAAACUUGCUCCAUAUCACAUAACUGGCAGAACUUAGUUUCCAUCCCAGUUUUAGCUAAGAACCUGUGCUCUCAACCACUGUGCCAUGUCAUUUCCCUAUGUCCAAGUUUCUGAAGUAGGCCUGGUUAGGACUGCAAAUAACAAACUGUUAUUACAAACUGUAGUUAAGUCAGAAUGGAACAGACAUAGAGAACUGGUUCUUAGGCGUUUGCCCACUGAAAUGUGUACUAGCUGAUAAGCUUGGAUGAGAUGCAUUCGCUGGGACAACACCGGCACUGUCAUUGCUCCACCCUUUGCCCUCCACUUUUUGCCCUAGGAAAGCAUACUGGAAUGCAUGUAAUACAUAUGAGUAAGAGUGACAAUAUUACAGGAAUGACAUUGAAUCAGUACUCAUUUAUGAAAGUGGUGUAUCCUUUGCAUAUUUUUGUGUAAGAUGAUAGUGGGUUUAAGUCUUAAGACACAAAGGAAGGCAUUCAAGAAAUAUAACUUUUUUUGUUUUUAUAAAUCAACUUCAUUUUGGCUCUGGACACCCAGCCUUUUGAGCUGGCAGGAAAUUUAGUCUCUGCCAUUCUGGGCUGAUCUCCCUCAUGCCCUGUGAACUUGUGCCAAGAUCUGAGUCUUAUGCAGGGCCAACAUAUUGUAUUGGACAAUUAUCUACAUUGGUUCCACUGAGACUGCUGUGGUCUUUCACUUUCCCUUUGGCUCUUGGAACCCUGAAACCUAUAAAACUGGGAGCCCUGGGCCCAGAAUCUAGGUGCCCAGCUUCCCAAGGCUGCACAUGGCCUUUCUUCCAAGGCACCUUAGAUCUCUCUUCCCCCUAACCUAAGGCCUUUUUUUUCUUCUAGAAGGAAAUCCCUUGCUCACCUUCCAUCUGAGGCACUUUCCGGUCAGCAUGCCCUAUUUUCCUCAAUGGGUUUUGCUCUUUGAAAAAAAGAAAGCCAUGAGAAUAUACAGUUUCAGCUGGCAAGCUGCUGCCCAGCCCAAGGCAACUUUUUCCAGAUUCCUUGCAUGUGGGUAUGACCAGUUCUCUAGUUAUUCCCAAUGGGAGGUGAGUGGAAGUGAUAAAUGUCAGUUUUGGACCAAGGCUUUUGAGAAGCAGGCAUGCUUCUUUUGUACUGUGUCCCCUUCUGCUGGCUUACAUGCAGAAAAUGAACAGGCCCUGGGAAUGUCGGAGGCCUGAGAUAGAAGGAGACUUCAUCCCUGAAACAUUGCUGGGAGGGCGCUGCCAACUUACCAGGAGCGUUCACUUAAUGCAAUUUUAUGAGCAAGAGAUAAACUUCUGGGUAUUUUAGUCAUUAUACACAUUUGGGUCUCUUCGUUACAAUAGCCUAGCAUAUAGGGAGCAUGCUUAACAUUUUUCUGUUGACUUGGGGUAUGUGCAAAAUAUAUGGAGGCCACUGGUCUAAUCACUUGCCAAAUGCAAAUGAAAUAGGAUUGUCUUGUUUUGUCAGAUCCAGGGGACAGAAGCUCAUCAUUUCAAAGCCAUCCUCUCAUGUAAUCAAAAGCUAUAAGGAUCAUAGAUGGUGUUUAAGACAGCUGAGUUUUAUAUUUGCAAAACUGAAAAAUAGUGAAAUUUUUAGGAAGAUUCACAAAUUUAGAUUACCAUUAAUUAGUAAAAAUGACAAGCCUUAGUGGUAACCCAAGGGUUGUCUUAGAAAAUGUGGAAAUAUUUGAUGAAUGUUAUUGAAGAACAGUGAAAUCCAGCAAUUGUUUGGCACAGAGUUUGCUCAAAUUUGCAACUACUUUAAUGUCCCCAGACUUUAGCUUAAAUUGUCUUUUUUCAAGGCUCAAGGUCUUUUAAGACCCGAGUGUUUUCCAGUUACCUUUGCAAAUGAAUUAAGAGUUCACUGCAUUCCUCUGACCCUCUUCCCUGGGGUUUAGAUGGUGAAACUCAAAAAGCCUUCCUUCAUGCAUUCAGCUUAGAGAAGGAAUAGAAUGAUACAUCAAGGCAAUAUCUCUGAAAGCUGAGAUCAACAGACUAUGAUUAAAGUCAGCUUGCAGUUAUAUUGGCUGAGACUGUCACGCCAGCUGCUCGUAAACCCCACAAGAUGAUGGAUGUCUUACUGUUAUCCUUACUGCUCUCCAGAAUUUAUUAGCAGAAAAGAAAAAUAGGGAAAGGUUAUAACUCUCAGAAGUCCAAAAUUCUCUUUGCAACAGUGAAGAGUGAAGGCUUGGAUGUCAGUUAUAAAUGAAUCACUGGGCAUUUGUGGGGCGCAGGGAGGAGUGUCAGAACCUCAGCACUCUAAUCAAGAGCGGCAGGAGCACCUGCACAGAGGGUCAAGUGAGUGUUAAGAGGGCUUGUUUUGCAGGUGCAUUCAUCAUUCUAUCCUGAGAAAUUUAGCUAGUUGCUGUUGAGAAAAAACUCUUCGUUAACAUUAGGGAAAUGAAAUUCCAUGGCCCUCACUCACUGUAGGGGAAUUAAGGGUUAUAGGGAAGGGAAAUCCUGCUUGGGUUCAGGAGUGAGGUGCGGGAGUUCUAGCAUCAUGGAACUGGUGAAGGACUAUGUUGCUGGGGAUCUGGGAGCAGCUGCUUUGGGAGGCAGAAAGAUAGAUUUGGAUCCCUCAUCUUGGGUCUUGAUGCUAAUUUCCUUCCUUUCUCCUGCCCUCUCCUUUCUCCUAGUGAGCUAAGAAUAAAAACUCUGGAACCUGCUGUUUUAUUUUUUUCACUCAAGAAACUGAUUAAUGAAGGCUGCUGGGUUUAAUAAAUGGCUGUCUAUUUCAGCUUAGAAAACACUAUUUUGGGGAGUGGAAAAAUAUUGGCAAUCAUUCACCUUGUGGAGAGCUGCAUUAGUUUGCAAGUUGUUAAAGGAAUAGACUUUGAUAUUAAAGAAGCUUUGAUUAGGAUACGUGUUCCUCCACCUGGCAUAGGAUAUUUAAUAGCCGUGUGACCUUGAGUGGUUACUUCACAUUGUAUGAGCCUUAGUCCUCUAGCCCAGGAAAUGGUGAUUAAUGGUACAUGCCUCUGAAGUUUGCUGUGGAAAUUGAGGAAGAGACUUGUAAUAGUAAAUGUUGGAUAAAUGUGAACACUCUACAUGACCUAUUUAUUUUCUACUUUCAUAUUUUCAAAAGGAAGAUAGAGAACGUAUUUGCUUAUGGGUACAUUGGUUUUGAGCUCUUGCUCAUGGUUAAAUUUCCUGCUGAGUAUUUUCUGGACUCCAACUCAUUAUUGAGUCUGGACAGUUAACAUCACCCCUAUUCAUUUCUGUCUGGAGCACUCCCCUCUCUUUCUUGCCUUAGGAAGUUAAAAAUGAACUGAUGUGGCUAGAAAGAUUCCAAAGGGGGAAAAAUGAACUGAUAUUGCAGGGAAGUUUGCUUUAAUUUCCUGAAGAGAAGCUGUGGAAUAAUACUUUGAAUACUUAUUAUUUGUUGAACCUGGUCAAUGUUAGCAAUCCCAUGCAGAUUGUCUAAAGGUGCCAUCUUUGUCUUAGGACUAUGUAAUCAAAAUGAGCAAGGUAAUCCCAGAUGCACAAGUCAGCUUUGUGUUCAUAGAUGAGGUGCACUAAUAGCCUAGAUAUUGUAUUCGAUUGCAUGAGUACCUCAUUCAAGCACUGUCCCACUUUAGCCUCUUGCAGCCUGACUACUGUCUGUAUCUGGAAAAUGGAAAAACCAGCCAGAGUUUAAUCCAGAAAACAAACUACUCUAGGUAUUUUAGAUAGAAGGGAGAAUUAUCUGGAGAUUAGGUUCUCAGGAAAUUGUUGGAAGGGUUAAAAGGAGUAGGCUCUAGACUGGCUAGAGCUAAGAAUGGCUCCUGGAAUAUGACAGAACUGAAUUACAAGGGAAAUGACUAACCAAACCCCAAUUAGGGAGGGCAAAGGCUGAAACCAUUGACUUUAAGGACACAAAGACAUAGCUGUAAUCAAGAGAUCAGAAAAACAGCAUCUGAUCUGUUUGGGGGACCAAACCAUGUGGACAGUGGAAUCUGGAGUCUGGUGAUCUUCAUAGCCCAACUACCCCUCAACACUCACAAAGGCAGAGACUAAGUACUGAUACACAAAAAUCUUCCCUGCCAGCAGAAAACAGCAAACAGCGGAAAGACAGCUUCUGCCCACUUCCACCUUUUACAUUUCUGAUGAGUGCAUCUAAUUGACAGAACCUAAGUCAUAUCCAGUCUCCUAACUAGAUUCCAGAAAAUGUAGUGCGUGUUUGUUUAUUUAUUUAUUUAUUUUACUUCCAGCCUCUGCAACAUUGGAAAGCACCCUGGAAAUGUAACCGUAGGACCAGCUCAAACUGAUUAACCAUUGCUUAAGUUGUUACAGGUGACAAAGAGCCAAAAUUGCCCGGGUUUGCACAAUAGGAAGGGCUUUGACCUUCUAAUUUAAUACCACCAGCCUGGCAGACGAGCUGCAUUGGCAUCACCUGGGACUAGUUAGAAAGGCCGUAAAAGCUGGAGCUACUCCCAGAUUGGAGAGAUAGUUAUGAGUGUUGCCUCCUAUCUCCUUGCCAGUUGACUUGAAAUAAAGUGUUUUCUUUUCUCCAAA